GAUGAACGCUGGCGGCGUGCCUAAUACAUGCAAGUCGAGCGAACGGACGAGAAGCUUGCUUCUCUGAUGUUAGCGGCGGACGGGUGAGUAACACGUGGAUAACCUACCUAUAAGACUGGGAUAACUUCGGGAAACCGGCGCUAAUACCGGAUGAUAUUUUGAACCGCAUGGUUCAAAAGUGAAAGACGGUCUUGCUGUCACUUAUAGAUGGAUCCGCGCUGCAUUAGCUAGUUGGUAAGGUAACGGCUUACCAAGGCAACGAUGCAUAGCCGACCUGAGAGGGUGAUCGGCCACACUGGAACUGAGACACGGUCCAGACCCCUACGGGAGGCAGCAGUAGGGAAUCUUCCGCAAUGGGCGAAAGCCUGACGGAGCAACGCCGCGUGAGUGAUGAAGGUCUUCGGAUCGUAAAACUCUGUUAUUAGGGAAGAACAUAUGUGUAAGUAACUGUGCACAUCUUGACGGUACCUAAUCAGAAAGCCACGGCUAACUACGUG
rnacentral:rRNA from 1 species